GUCCAUUUGUUACCACCUUAAGGUUAAUAUUGUUAAGGUGUUUUGGUUUGCACUAGGAUGCAAAAAAGAAAAUCCCCUGCACUUCUGUCUGUCUUGUGGGCAAGCCCAGAUUGAAUUGGGAAUACAUCU
rnacentral:snoRNA from 1 species